rnacentral:lncRNA from 1 species
ACUACGGGAAAGCAUAAAGUCGCCGAGUGUAAUUACUUCGCCGAGUGCUUUUUUUCGGGCACUCGGCGAAGCAACGUUUUGCCGAGUGUAACAUAAAAAACACACGGCAAAAAUAAAACACUCGGCGAACGACCGGUUUGCCGAGUGUUACCCAAAAAACACUCGGCAAACACCCAGGCGGCACUCGGCAAACGUUGACACUCGGCAAACUGACCUUCCCCGUGCCGACGGCGGCGCCCUUCCGUGACGGCCGUUAGUGUUUGCCGAGUGUCAAUAUAGGGCACUCGGCAAAGGCACUAGUUUGCCGAGUGCCAUGAUGGGACACUCGGCAAACUAUAGUCUUUGCCGAGUGUCUUGAUGGGACACUCGGCAAACCCUAUAGUUUGCCGAGUCCUAGGGGGUACACUCGGCAAACUAUAGUGUUUGCCGAGUGUCUUUUCACACACUCGGCAAACAUAAUUUUUUUUCCCCUCCUCCACCCUCCAAACUUUUAACACUCCUCAUGUAUGGCAUUUAGCACUGCAUGGUAGAAGAUGGACUAUUUUUUGACCUGUUUGCUAUAUUUAAUCAAUUAAUUUCAUUUAGAGUAAUUUUUUUAUUUAAGUCAAAUUUGAACUGCAGGUGGUUGGAAUAAUGGAAUAAUAUGAGUGAAAAAAUCAUAUUCAUGUUAGUGAGUC